rnacentral:rRNA from 1 species
AUUGAACGCUGGCGGCAUGCUUUACACAUGCAAGUCGGACGGUAACAGGUUAAGCUGACGAGUGGCGAACGGGUGAGUAAUGCAUCGGAACGUGCCCGGUCGUGGGGGAUAACGCAGCGAAAGCUGCGCUAAUACCGCAUACGAUCUGAGGAUGAAAGCGGGGGACCGUAAGGCCUCGCGCGAUCGGAGCGGCCGAUGUCAGAUUAGGUAGUUGGGGGGGUAAAGGCUCACCAAGCCGACGAUCUGUAGCUGGUCUGAGAGGACGACCAGCCACACUGGGACUGAGACACGGCCCAGACUCCUAUGGGAGGCAGCAGUGGGGAAGUUUGGACAAUGGGCGCAAGCCUGAUCCAGCAAUGCCGCGUGCAGGAAGAAGGCCUUCGGGUUGUGAACUGCUUUUGUACGGAGCGAAAAGGCUCUCUCUAAUACAGGGGGCUCAUGACGGUACCGUAAGAAUAAGCACCGGCUAACUACGUGCCAGCCGCCGCGGUAA